rnacentral:rRNA from 1 species
CAAAAACAUAACCAUAUGUAUGCACAUAUGGCGUUUUCUGCUCAAUGAUACUUAAAUAGCCGCAGUACUCUGACUGUGCAAAGGUAGCAUAAUAAAUUGGCUUUUAAUUGAAGUCUAGAAUGAACGAAUACAUGGGGAAUAGCUGUCUCAUCAGUGUAUAAUGAAUUUACUUAAUAUGUGCAAAUUCAUAUAAAUAAAUAAUAGACGAGAAGACCCUAGAAAUUUUUACUAAUAAAUAAAAAACUGUUUUUGCUGGGGCGGCAUAGUAACAGAUAACUUGCAAUAUUUUACAUGAAGCAAUAUUUGCAGCCAGAUUAAAUUACUCUAGGGAUAACAGCAUAAUUUACUAUAGUUUGUGACCUCGAUGUUGGAUUAGGAAGUUGAAGUUUAGAAGAUUUACAAAUUUGCUCUGUUCGAGCAAUUUUUCCUACGUGAUCUGA